rnacentral:rRNA from 1 species
CGCGUAUACAAUCUACCUUAUACUAGGGAAUAGCCCAGAGAAAUUUGGAUUAAUGCUCUAUAGUCUAUUAAUAUGGCUUCAUAUAAAUAGUAAAGGUAACGGUAUAAGAUGAGUAUGCGUCCUAUUAGUUAGUUGGUAAGGUAACGGCUUACCAAGACUACGAUAGGUAGGGGCCCUGAGAGGGGGAUCCCCCACACUGGUACGGAGACACGGACCAGACUCCUACGGGAGGCAGCAGUGAGGAAUAUUGGACAAUGGGGGCAACCCUGAUCCAGCCAUGCCGCGUGCAGGAAGACUGCC